rnacentral:sRNA from 1 species
CCAAUGUGUUUCCACCCGACGAAGACGAUGUAGUCAAUAUUUUCAAUUCCUUACGCGGAAUCUGUACUCGCAAAGCUGUCAUGAUGAAAGAAGCCGUAAUUGAUGAUGCGGAUGUUGUGAGAGGACUUCUAGAGUUUGCUAACAGGAAUCUCAUACAUAGUAUCGUGGUCGGUGCAUCUGCCAAAAACACUUUGUCAAGUCUCAAAAAACUUAAAGCCUAUCAGUAUCAGGAUAUACCAACAGCCAUGAUCAAAUCAGCUCCGGAUUUCUGCUCUGUUUACAUAAUUUCGAAAUUGAAGAUUAUGUCUGCUCGAUCAGCGGUACGGUCAUUGUCAAAAAGUUUAACUACACCGAAACCAGUUCCUGUGCCGCCA